rnacentral:misc_RNA from 1 species
CAGAGUUUUCUAACUCCCAAACCCUUUGUGAACUUACUAUUUUGUUGCCUCGGCGGGCCUCUGAGAUUCGUCUCACGUCCGCCGGCGGCCCAUUAAACUCUGUUACUUUUAAGCAAUCUGAGUCUUUUAUAAAAUAAAGUCA